rnacentral:lncRNA from 1 species
AGCAUUGAGGGUGGCGGUUCAAGUCGUAUUAGUUCAAGUGGUGUCAAUUCUUAAGCUGGAAGACUCCUUGUAUUUGGUACUUUUCUAUCCUUAAUUCUAUGUAUCUUUGACUUUAACUACUUUGAAUCCAUAUCACAUUAUCAAUCUAGGUUAUAUCUACUAGUAUACUGUGUCUACCGAGCAAAACUUUUGUUCGCCUUGUUCUUUAGCUCCCCUGGUCCGUUUCUGGAUCCGCCACUGGACUAGAGGAUAGCUGACAUCCAGCAUUACGUGAGAAUGACGCAGGCCCCUAAUAUCGUCGGACAGAGAUUCAGUAACUUGCCUUGAGCAAGUCACGACGUAACUUACCUUCUUCAUCCAUUCUUCCAAAGUCUUGUUUAGUUCAAAUUUUUUUUAUAAAAUUAAAAAAAUUCAGAUAUUUUCCGUCACAUCAAAUUUUACAGCACGUGUAUGGAACAUUAAAUAUAGAUAAAAAAUAAUUAAUUACACAGUUUGUCUAUAAUUUGCGAGAUGAAUCUUUUGAGCCUAGUUAAUCUAUGAUCGGAUAAUAUUUAUCAAAUACAAACGAAAAUGCUACACUAUCUAUUUUGUAAAUUUUUUUUGGAACUAAACAAGGCCCAAAUCAGAUCCAGUGGCUCAAAACAGAUCCAGCCCUUCAACUCAUGAGACUUGGUUGUAUUUUCGGACAUAGAUAGUAGAUAGCAGCAUAAUUCAUAGUUUCAAAAAAAAAGAAAAAAAGUCAAUAAUUUAGGUCCAUAAUUCAGAUGGACAUAUACAUAGCAGUUUAACAAAGCACAAUAAAAUACAAGUCCAAUCGUAGACUAACUAGACUCAAAAGAUUCAGUGGCUCGCAAAAUUAUGUAAUUAGUUAUUUUUUAUGUAUAAUUAUUUUUUAUCUAUAUUUAAUUCUUCAUGCAUGUGUCAUAAGAUUUGAUGUAACGUGGAAUUUCUGAAAAAUCUAAAAUUUUACAAAAAAUAUUAGGAACUAAAUAAAGUGUUGGAGGAAUGAAUGUAGGAGGUAAGUUACAUUGUGACUUGCCCAAGGCAAGUUACUGAAUCCCUGUCCAAUAUCGUCGAUAGUCCGUCAGUAGGCUACAUCUAUGGGAUACCAUCUCCUUGGCGUUGUGAGGC